AGGAGCAUGUGGUUAAUUCGAUGAUACGCGAGGAACCUUACCUGGGCUCGAACGUAAGAUGACUGUAGGUGAAAGCUUACAUCUCUUCGGAGCAUUUUACGAGGUGCUGCAUGGUUGUCGUCAGCUCGUGCCGUGAGGUGUCGGGUUAAAUCCCAUAACGAGCGCAACCCUACCUUUAGUUGCCAUCAGGUAAUGCUGGGGACUCUAAAGGAACUGCCUACGCAAGUAGUGAGGAAGGCGGGGAUGACGUCAAAUCAGCACGGCCCUUACGUCCAGGGCUACACACGUGCUACAAUGGCCGAUACAGAGGGCAGCUACCUGGUGACAGGAUGCAAAUCUCCAAAGUCGGUCUCAGUUCGGAUCGGAGUCUGCAACCCGACUCCGUGAAGUUGGAUUCGCUAGUAAUCGCGCAUCAGCCAUGGCGCGGUGAAUACGUUCCCGGGCCUU
rnacentral:rRNA from 1 species